rnacentral:ncRNA from 1 species
UUAAAAAAAUGCAAACCUGGAGCAAUCCAGCGACGCAAAGCUAUAGGGACCUUCAAUAGGGGGGUUAGCCAGUUGCCACA